ACGGCAGCACGGGAGCAAUCCUGGUGGCGAGUGGCGAACGGGUGAGUAAUAUAUCGGAACGUGCCCAGUCGUGGGGGAUAACGCAGCGAAAGCUGUGCUAAUACCGCAUACGAUCUCUGGAUGAAAGCGGGGGACUCGUAAGAGCCUCGCGCGAUUGGAGCGGCCGAUAUCAGAUUAGCUAGUUGGUGGGGUAAAGGCCCACCAAGGCGACGAUCUGUAGCUGGUCUGAGAGGACGACCAGCCACACUGGAACUGAGACACGGUCCAGACUCCUACGGGAGGCAGCAGUGGGGAAUUUUGGACAAUGGGCGCAAGCCUGAUCCAGCAAUGCCGCGUGCAGGAUGAAGGCCUUCGGGUUGUAAACUGCUUUUGUACGGAACGAAAAGGUCUGCCUUAAUACGGUGGGCCCAUGACGGUACCGUAAGAAUAAGCACCGGCUAACUACGUGCCAGCAGCCGCGGUAAUACGUAGGGUGCGAGCGUUAAUCGGAAUUACUGGGCGUAAAGCGUGCGCAGGCGGUUAUAUAAGACAGAUGUGAAAUCCCCGGGCUCAACCUGGGACCUGCAUUUGUGACCGUAUAGCUAGAGUACGGUAGAGGGGGAUGGAAUUCCGCGUGUAGCAGUGAAAUGCGUAGAUAUGCGGAGGAACACCGAUGGCGAAGGCAAUCCCCUGGACCUGUACUGACGCUCAUGCACG
rnacentral:rRNA from 1 species